AACAGCUCUUCAAUUAAGUUGUUAAGACAAUUGGCCUACGUGAAGUUUGCUUCUUUCGAUUGCAAUAUACCGAUUCGAGGGGUAACCUAACAUGGAUAAAAUUAUAUAAAAAGCUCACAACCGUGACCACCCCGAUGUAUAGAUCUCCAGAAAUGGUUGCCACCUGGAACAAUUAUGUUAAAGACCCCAAAUUGGAUAUCUGUGCUUAAGGAUGUGUUCUUUAUUGUUUAUGUUUCCAAAAACAUCCAUUUGAAGUUUCAGCCAAGCUACGAAUUACAAACGGAAAUUAUACAAAGCCAUCAGAUGCCGGAUUUAAUUGUUUCCAUGAUGUCAUCAAAUAGUGAAUAACUGUGAACCCCUCAAAUAGGUUUAACAUUUCAACAAUUUUAGAUCGUUUGGCUGGGAUAUCUUAAACGAAAAAUUGGUCAUUAAAGAGACCAAUUGAAUUGGUGGGAAAAACCAUUAGUAAUACCACCAAGUGGUUCACCGGAAAACAAUCCAGCAACAACAAAUGCACCUGUGCUCUCUCCACUUCCCUCACGACCUACACCACGAAGGCCUACACAUUCUCCCAACCUAUCGGCCUAUUCAGACAACAAUGUCUCAGAUAGUUUUCCCCAACAUCAACAGCAGCGUCCAGCAAGACCACCACCAGCUGCUGCCACCAACAACAUGCAACAAUACAACUACCAAGGACAAAAUCUACCACAGCCACCCAAAGCAGCAGGUGCCGCACAAACAGGAAGUCUUUUCUCCUCAAUCCGAGGUGGUGCUAGCAGUUUUCUCAAGAAUCUCAAGGACACCUCCUGUCGAGUUGACAUCGAGAUAAGUUACAUUACAUCAAGUAUUCUAAUGAUGCCAUGUCCCUCUGAAGGCUUCGAAUCGGCCUACAAAACAAACAUUGAAGACGUCCGGUUGUCCAUCGAAAGUCGUUAUCCACCAGCAAAAGUAAGCGUCUACAAUUUUGGCAAUCGAAACUGUCUACGUCUACCUCCACCGGUACGCCGGACAGUCGGAGACGGCUCCAUCUACACAUGUCCUCAAUCCA